UACGAAGGGGGCUAGCGUUGUUCGGAAUUACUGGGCGUAAAGGGCGCGUAGGCGGCUUGGCAAGUGGAAGGUGAAAUCCCUCGGCUUAACCGAGGAACUGCCCUCCAAACUGCUUCGCUUGAGACCGGGAGAGGUGAGUGGAAUUCCCAGUGUAGCGGUGAAAUGCGUAGAUAUUGGGAGGAACACCAGUGGCGAAGGCGGCUCACUGGACCGGAACUGACGCUGAUGCGCGAAAGCGUGGGGAGCAAACAGG
rnacentral:rRNA from 1 species